rnacentral:rRNA from 1 species
CAGUAGCGUAUAUUAAAGUUGUUGCAGUUAAAAUGCUCGUAGUUGAAGUUCGGAUGCAGCAGAGCUUGGAAACGCUGUUAUGGUGCUUCCGUUGCUUUCGCUUGUCCACAGUGCGUUGCAAGUACGUAUGUGCUUGUGCGUGCAUUUUACUUUGAGAAACAUAGGGUGUUCCACGCAUGUUACGGCAUGAAUAUUCCAGCAUGGGAUAAUCUGGUACGACUUCCAAUCUGCCAUUUUGGUUCGUAGGUUGGAAGUAAUGAUUAAUAGGGACUGUCGGGGGCAUUGGUAUUUGACUGUCAGAGGUGAAAUUCUUAGAUUCGUUGAGGACCAACCACUGCGAAAGCAUUUGUCAAGGAUGUCUCCAUUA